rnacentral:rRNA from 1 species
GAUCAUGGCUCAGGAUGAACGCUGGCGGCGUGCUUAACACAUGCAAGUCGAACGAAGAGCGAUGGAAGCUUGCUUCUAUCAAUCUUAGUGGUGAACGGGUGAGUAGCGCGUAAUCAACCUGCCCUUCAGAGGGGGACAACAGUUGGAAACGACUGCUAAUACCGCAUACGAUCUAACCUCGGCAUCGAGGAUAGAUGAAAGGUGGCCUCUAUUUAUAAGCUAUC